rnacentral:lncRNA from 1 species
UUAGAGGAUCGAAACGAGUUGUGAUGGAAGUCUUGAACGACUGAUAAUCCGAUCCAAGACCUCCUAACGCUAGAAGGAUUAAUUGAGAAUCCUUGAGAAUGUCUCCAGCAGCUGCAAGUCGAUCAUUCAUUUGAGUGAUCUUGUCGAGAUAAUCACCCAUCUUGAGAGAUCCUUUGCGAAAUGACUGAAGCCUGUGUCGGAGGUUGAGCACCCUGGUUUCAGAACC